rnacentral:rRNA from 1 species
AUUGAACGCUGGCGGCAGGCCUAACACAUGCAAGUCGAGCGAGCGGCGGACGGGUGAGUAAUGUCUGGGCAACUGCCUGAUGGAGGGGGAUAACUACUGGAAACGGUCGCUAAUACCGCAUACCAUCAGAUGUGCCCAGAUGGGAUUAGCUAGUAGGUGGGGUAACGGCUCACCUAGGCGACGAUCCCUAGCUGGUCUGAGAGGAUGACCAGCAACACUGGAACUGAGACACGGUCCAGACUCCUACGGGAGGCAGCAGUGGGGAAUAUUGCACAAUGGGCGCAAGCCUGAUGCAGCCAGGACGCGUGUAUGAAGAAGGCCUUCGGGUUGUAAAGUACUUUCAGCGGGGAGGCGUUACCCGCAGAAGAAGCACCGGCUAACUCCGUGCCAGCAGCCGCGGUAAUAC